ACUAAUAGCAGCAAAGAUAAGAAUGCAGUGAGCAGAAAUAAGAAAGAAUAGAAAGGAGGCCACCAGCUUUAGCAAGAAAAGAGAGAUCAAUUCAUUUUUUUCUGGAGCAAGAAAAUUAGAACCAUCAUUGUCAUGGAAAGGGUUAAGCUAGACUUGGUCAAUCUGGCCCGAUUAUUGGUCCAAGUUAGUGACCCGGUUGGGCAAAGCAGGCAUGUUGCUACAGUGAACAAGUGAAUUAAAAUUUAAAUGAAGCAAAGCGGGAGGAGAAAAAGUUGCUUACCUGGUCUACUGGAGGCGAUGAAGACGAUAGUGAAGCUCUUUCUGUGUGAUCGGGUGACACUAGCCGGGCACCCGUUUCAACCUUCCCUUUGUUCCUCUAGCUUUAUUCUUUCUGUUUCUGAUGGUUCGGAGUGGUGAAGCUGGAGACGAAUGCCCAGGCUGAUCAAUACUUGCAGUUUCUCUGUUUUCCCUUAUUCACUUUGCUUGCGUUCUGGGGACGAAGGCAAAGCUGGGAGCGCUGGCUUUUUGCUCUCUCCUCCUUUCUCUUUUUUUAGUCAGUCCUUUCUUUCUUUAUUUCCGUUCGUGCUCUCUGUUUUUCUUUGUGUUGUUCUCUGCUUUUUUUGUUCGUCUUUCUCUGGUAGUCUCUGUCUAUUCUUUCCCUCUUAGUGUUUCUCUGGUUCUCUCCCCACUGGUUCGUGGCCUUCUCUGGCUUUUAUAAAGCCAUCUAAUGGCCUCUGUUCGUGCGUUCGUGCCUCGAGAUCAUGGGGGCACGUUCGCUCCUGUCUCUGAGAAGAGUCAGGACUGUUGGCCACGAUAUAUAUAUAAUUCGAACAAAAGAGAUUCUUAUUCAACUCAAACAAA